rnacentral:rRNA from 1 species
AUGGACGUGGUCCUGACUGCGGUGGAUUUUAGUCUUGUUUCCUUCUUUGCAACGACCAUGCUGCUACCCCUUUUUGCUAACAUGUGUUCUGUUUUUGCAGAUUGGUGUGAAGUGAGCACACAUUUGUUGAUCGUUAGUCUACCGCUUGUUUCCUGUUCUCUUCAUUACUUCCUUCCUGCCGUACCACUGGUGAGAUGUUGUCUCCUCAUGCUUUUAUCCGUUCAUAUGAGUGAUUCAAUGUUGUUGUUGGACUGGUUUAUUGUGUGGAUGGGGUGGCGCUCGUCAGGUGUUUGUGCUUAUGCUCCACCCAUGACCUGCUUUAAAAAUUGUCUUGCCAGGAUUUGUAUUCAUUGCACACCCCGCUGCAGAUCCGAGCAGGCACCUUGCAUCCUUCCUUUUGCACUGUGA